rnacentral:rRNA from 1 species
GUAGUCCACGCUGUAAACGUUGGGCGCUAGGUGUGGGGGUCCUCUCCGGGUCUCUGUGCCGUAGCUAACGCAUUAAGCGCCCCGCCUGGGGAGUACGGCCGCAAGGCUAAAACUCAAAGGAAUUGACGGGGCCCGCACAAGCGGCGGAGCAUGCGGAUUAAUUCGAUGCGACGCGAAGAACCUUACCUGGGUUUGACAUGGGCGUUAAAGCCACGGAGACGUGGUGUCCUUCGGGGGGCGUCCACAGGUGGUGCAUGGCUGUCGUCAGCUCGUGUCGUGAGAUGUUGGGUUAAG